rnacentral:rRNA from 1 species
UCGAACGAUUGAAGCUGGAGCUUGCUCCGGCCGAUUUAGUGGCGCACGGGUGAGUAACACGUGAAUAACCUGACCCAAAGAGGGGGAUAACACCUGGAAACAGGUGCUAAUACCGCAUAAGACCACAAUGUCGCAUGACGAAGGGGUCAAAGAAAAUCGCUUUGGGAGGGGUUCGCGUCCCAUUAGGUAGUAGGCGGGGUAACAGCCCACCUAGCCGACGAUGGGUAGCCGAGCUGAGAGGCUGAUCGGCCACACUGGAACUGAGACACGGUCCAGACUCC